rnacentral:sRNA from 1 species
CCCCGGACUGGCGUCCGGGGCUAUAACAUGGCGUCACUUCGUGACU